AUUGAACGCUGGCGGCAUGCUUUACACAUGCAAGUCGAACGGCAGCAUGAAUGGUGCUUGCACUAUUUGAUGGCGAGUGGCGAACGGGUGAGUAAGACAUCGGAACGUACCGUUUAGUGGGGGACAACUUUCAGAAAUGGAAGCUAAUACCGCAUACGAACUACGGUUGAAAGCAGGGGACCUUUGGGCCUUGUGCUAAACGAGCGGCCGAUGGAAGAUUAGCUAGGUGGUGGGGUAAAGGCUCACCAAGGCGACGAUCUUUAGCGGGUCUGAGAGGACGAUCCGCCACACUGGAACUGAGACACGGUCCAGACUCCUACGGGAGGCAGCAGUGGGGAAUUUUGGACAAUGGGGGCAACCCUGAUCCAGCAAUGCCGCGUGAGUGAAGAAGGCCUUCGGGUUGUAAAGCUCUUUUGUCAGGGAAGAAAUCCUCAGUACUAAUACUGCUGGGGGAUGACGGUACCUGAAGAAUAAGCACCGGCUAACUACGUGCCAGCAGCCGCAGUAAUAC
rnacentral:rRNA from 1 species